rnacentral:rRNA from 1 species
AAAUUGAAGAGUUUGAUCAUGGCUCAGAUUGAACGCUGGCGGCAGGCCUAACACAUGCAAGUCGAGCGGUAGCACAGAGAGCUUGCUCUCGGGUGACGAGCGGCGGACGGGUGAGUAAUGUCUGGGAAACUGCCUGAUGGAGGGGGAUAACUACUGGAAACGGUAGCUAAUACCGCAUAACGUCGCAAGACCAAAGUGGGGGACCUUCGGGCCUCAUGCCAUCAGAUGUGCCCAGAUGGGAUUAGCUAGUAGGUGGGGUAACGGCUCACCUAGGCGACGAUCCUAGCUGGUCUGAGAGGAUGACCAGCCACACUGGAACUGAGACACGGUCCAGACUCCUACGGGAGGCAGCAGUGGGAAUAUUGCACAAUGGGCGCAAGCCUGAUGCAGCCAUGCCGCGUGUGUGAAGAAGGCCUUCGGGUUGUAAAGCACUUUCAGCGGGGAGGAAGGCGAUAAGGUUAAUAACCUUGUCGAUUGACGUUACCCGCAGAAGAAGCACCGGCUAACUCCGUGCCAGCAGCCGCGGUAAUACGGAGGGUGCAAGCGUUAAUCGGAAUUACUGGGCGUAAAGCGCACGCAGGCGGUCUGUCAAGUCGGAUGUGAAAUCCCCGGGCUCAACCUGGGAACUGCAUUCGAAACUGGCAGGCUAGAGUCUUGUAGAGGGGGGUAGAAUUCCAGGUGUAGCGGUGAAAUGCGUAGAGAUCUGGAGGAAUACCGGUGGCGAAGGCGGCCCUCGGACAAAGACUGACGCUCAGGUGCGAAAGCGUGGGGAGCAAACAGGAUUAGAUACCCUGGUAGUCCACGCCGUAAACGAUGUCGAUUUGGAGGUUGUGCCCUUGAGGCGUGGCUUCCGGAGCUAACGCGUUAAAUCGACCGCCUGGGGAGUACGGCCGCAAGGUUAAAACUCAAAUGAAUUGACGGGGGCCCGCACAAGCGGUGGAGCAUGUGGUUUAAUUCGAUGCAACGCGAAGAACCUUACCUGGUCUUGACAUCCACAGAACUUUCCAGAGAUGGAUUGGUGCCUUCGGGAACUGUGAGACAGGUGCUGCAUGGCUGUCGUCAGCUCGUGUUGUGAAAUGUUGGGUUAAGUCCCGCAACGAGCGCAACCCUUAUCCUUUGUUGCCAGCGGUUCGGCCGGGAACUCAAAGGAGACUGCCAGUGAUAAACUGGAGGAAGGUGGGGAUGACGUCAAGUCAUCAUGGCCCUUGACCGGGCUACACACGUGCUACAAUGGCAUAUACAAAGAGAAGCGACCUCGCGAGAGCAAGCGGACCUCAUAAAGUAUGUCGUAGUCCGGAUUGGAGUCUGCAACUCGACUCCAUGAAGUCGGAAUCGCUAGUAAUCGUAGAUCAGAAUGCUACGGUGAAUACGUUCCCGGGCCUUGUACACACCGCCCGUCACACCAUGGGAGUGGGUUGCAAAAGAAGUAGGUAGCUUAACCUUCGGGAGGGCGCUUACCACUUUGUGAUUCAUGACUGGGGUGAAGUCGUAACAAGGUAACCGUAGGGGAACCUGCGGUUGGAUCACCUCCUUACCUUAAAGAA